rnacentral:rRNA from 1 species
UUGUAGCAAUACAGAUUGAUGGCGACCGGCGCACGGGUGAGUAACGCGUAUGCAACUUACCUAUCAGAGGGGGAUAGCCCGGCGAAAGUCGGAUUAAUACCCCAUAAAACAGGGGUCCCGCAUGGGAAUAUUUGUUAAAGAUUCAUCGCUGAUAGAUAGGCAUGCGUUCCAUUAGGCAGUUGGCGGGGUAACGGCCCACCAAACCGACGAUGGAUAGGGGUUCUGAGAGGAAGGUCCCCCACAUUGGUACUGAGACACGGACCAAACUCCUACGGGAGGCAGCAGUGAGGAAUAUUGGUCAAUGGCCGAGAGGCUGAACCAGCCAAGUCGCGUGAAGGAAGAAGGAUCUAUGGUUUGUAAACUUCUUUUAUAGGGGAAUAAAGUGGAGGACGUGUCCUUCUUUGUAUGUACCCUAUGAAUAAGCAUCGGCUAACUCCGUGCCAGCAGCCGCGGUAAUACGGAGGAUGCGAGCGUUAUCCGGAUUUAUUGGGUUUAAAGGGUGCGUAGGUGGUGAUUUAAGUCAGCGGUGAAAGUUUGUGGCUCAACCAUAAAAUUGCCGUUGAAACUGGGUUACUUGAGUGUGUUUGAGGUAGGCGGAAUGCGUGGUGUAGCGGUGAAAUGCAUAGAUAUCACGCAGAACUCCGAUUGCGAAGGCAGCUUACUAAACCAUAACUGACACUGAAGCACGAAAGCGUGGGGAUCAAACA